UACGGGGGGAGCAAGCGUUGUUCGGAUUUACUGGGCGUAAAGGGCGCGUAGGCGGCCUCCGCAAGUCAGUUGUGAAAUCUCCGAGCUUAACUCGGAAAGGUCAACUGAUACUGCGGGGCUAGAGUGCGGAAGGGGCAACUGGAAUUCUUGGUGUAGCGGUGAAAUGCGUAGAUAUCUGGAGGAACACCGGUGGCGAAGGCGGCAUCCUGGACCGGCAUUGACGCUGAGGCGCGAAAGCCAGGGGAGCAAACGGG
rnacentral:rRNA from 1 species